CUACGGGAUGCACCAGUAGGGAAUAUUGCACAAUAGGCGAAAGCCUGAUGCAGCAACGCCGCGUGUGCGAUGAAGGCCUUCGGGUCGUAAAGCACUUUUCGGGAGGAUGAGAAAGGACAGUACUCCCGGAAUAAGUCUCGGCUAACUACGUGCCAGCAGCCGCGGUAACACGUAGGAGGCAAGCGUUAUCCGGAUUUACUGGGCGUAAAGCGCGUGCAGGUGGUUUGGUAAGUUGGAUGUGAAAUCUCCCGGCUCAACUGGGUGAGGUCGUUCAAAACUGCUGGACUAGAGGACGGUAGAGGAAAGUGGAAUUCCCGGUGUAGUGGUGAAAUGCGUAGAUAUCGGGAGGAACACCAGUGGCGAAAGCGACUUUCUGGCCCGUUCCUGACACUAAGACGCGAAAGCUAGGGUAGCAAACGGGAUUAGAUACCCCCGUAGUC
rnacentral:rRNA from 1 species